ensembl:misc_RNA Metazoa_SRP Metazoan signal recognition particle RNA
GCUGGGAGCAGUGGCGUGUGCCUAUAGCUACGCAGGAGGCUGAGGUGGGAGGAUUACUUGAGCCCAGGAGUUCUGGGCUGUGGUGUGCUAUGCCAAUUGGGUGUCCACACUAAGUUUGGCAUCAAUAUGGUAACGUCCCGGGAGCAGGGGACCACCAGGUUGCCUAAGGAGGGGUGAACUGGUACAGGUCAGAAAUGGAGCAGGUCAAAACUCCCGUGCUGAUCAGUAGUGGAAUCGCACCAGUGAAUAGCCACUGCACUCUAGCCUGGACAACAUAUUGAGACCCCAUCUCUA